rnacentral:rRNA from 1 species
GAUGAACGCUGGCGGCGUGCCUAAUACAUGCAAGUCGAACGCAUUGUGGUUUGAAAUGAUAUGAAGAACUUGUUCAGAUUUGAUUUUCAACAUUGCAAUGAGUGGCGAACGGGUGAGUAACACGUGGGAAACCUACCUCUUAGCAGGGGAUAACAUUUGGAAACAAAUGCUAAUACCGUAUAAUAAUUAAAAACCGCAUGGUUUUAGUUUAAAAGAUGGUCUUGCUAUCACUAAGAGAUGGUCCCGCGGUGUAUUAGUUAGUUGGUGAGGUAAUGGCUCACCAAGACAAUGAUACAUAGCCGAGUUGAGAGACUGACCGGCCACAAUGGGACUGAGACACGGCCCAUACUCCUACGGGAGGCAGCAGUAGGGAAUCUUCCACAAUGGACG